AUGCUUUUAAGAUACUGAUGACUUCCAUUGAUGAACAACAAAGCUCAGAAGGAACAGAAGAGGAUUGCAGAGAGGAGAAAUUUUUCUAAGGGUGGUUGCUCUUCUCUGCAACUCCAAUGAUUUCUCAUAUGAAUAAAAUGAAAAAAAAUCAAACAACUCUUGAGAAUUUAUGACUAAAAUGGUCCUUUAUGUUAUGCAGUUGAGCUAAAUUCAUCUUCUCAAAGAAGAGAGUUCAUAGAGAGAAUUUUGAGUCUGUAAUUGAUAAUUGGCAAGAGAAAUUAAGAGACCCGUAUCUUGGCGGGGCGACCCGGAACGCAACCGGAGGUUAGCAGCCAUGGCGAUGUCUUUAUUUCUCUUGUUUUUUUAUCAACAGAUCUGAGCUUCAAUUUUACUAUUGUAGCUUGUAUUGUGUUGUUAUUCUAAAAGGCAUGUUUGGUAUGAAGAAAAAUGUAAUCUUUUUGUGAUCAAUUUUGUCAGUGUUUGGUUACUAGUGUAGCCAUCUGAGAAGAAGAAAGUUGGGGAUUUUUUUUUUUUGGUGAAAACUAAGGGCCUGUUUGGAUAUGCAAUAUGGAAUAAUGAGGUUAAUAGAGAGAAGGGAUUUUUUUUUUGUUAAGGGUGGUUGCCAGAGAAGAUCGAACAAAAGGUGCCUUUUUAAGUGUUGUUUUUGUUUUUGCCACUCUCUAUUGUGCCCAUGAUUUUCUUUAUAACAACUAAAGCAACAGCCCUUGUUAAUGAAAUACUCAGACAAACCACAGCUCUCUCUGUGUGUGUGUGUGUGUUGCCUUCCCCCCUUUGUGUCAUUGUGCAAAAGAGGCUGUGGUGAUGACAAUGUUUUACCUUCUGGGCUAACAAAAUUGGGCAUUGAGGAUAGUCUGACUGCAUAGUCUGACCGCGUAUCUUGGCUUGGCAAAUCCCAGGAUGGCCUGCAACUGAGGCUCACUCUUUUGCAUGCAACUGGCGAUUUUGCAGCUCAGUGUGUGUGUUGCUUUUUCCUCCCUUGGGUGAAAUUGUGCAAAACAGGCUGUGAUGAUGACACUGGGCUAACACAAUGGGGCAUUGAGGAUAGUCCGACCCGUAUCUUGGCUUGGCAAAUCCCAGGAUGGCCUGCAACUGAGGCUGUCUUUUGCAUGCAACUGGUGAUUUUGCAGCCAUGGCGGGGUUGCCUUUUCUUUGUUUGAGCAAAAAUACAGUAUCUGAGCCUCAAAUUUUUGAAUAUCGAAUUGGGGAACUCUUGUGCUUACAUUAAAGUUUGAUCCAAUUAGAAUGAUGUACAUUAUCACAAAAAGAUGGGUACUUUAUCUGCUUCAUAGAUAUAAACAUAUGAUAUCAGAGAGAAUUUAACAGAAGUGACUCAGUAAGCCUGCGUUUAAACCAAAAGCACUUUGCUUGAUAGAUAGAUAUAUAGAUAGAGAAUAUGAGGCUGUGAUGAUAUUUUCUUUCUUUCUUUUGAGGAACUCAAUAGGGCAAGAAAAUAAAGGGACUGUAUCUUGGCGGGGCAAGCCGGAUUGCUAGUGAUUUUGUGUCAUGCCAACGGUGUUUGCAGCCAUGGUGUCACCUUCACUUUCUUGUCUUAUCAACAGAUCUGAUCCUCAACUUUACUCUUACGGCGUCUUUGGUAUGAUGGAAAACAUUUUUCACGAUGAAAUCAGCACCUGUUUACCAUUGUAUCCCUACGAGGAGAAAAAGUUGUGAAAUUUUCAGUUGCCAGCCAAGAAUUCCUAAAAGAAGUAGAAAAUGAAAUGAGGUUAAUAGGGAGAAGGGAUUUCUUCUAAGGGUGGUUGCCCCUCUCUGUUGUGCCAAUGAUUUUCUGUGGCUACUAAACCAAUAGCCCUUGUUCAUGCAUUAUUCAGAAGCAGAAUAUGAUCCAUAUAUCUCAGUGAGCGUGUAUUCUUGGGGAAUUUACACUAAUGACCUUUUUGAGGUAGUGAUGAUAAUAAUAGCACUUUUUGGGUUAACAAAAUGGGGUAUUAAAGACAAUUCGACCUGUAUCUUGGCCUGACAAAUCCCAGGAUAGCCAGCAACUGAGGCUCUUUCUUUUGCAUGCAACCGGUGAUUUUGCGGCCAUGGCGUGGUGACAUUCUCUUUAAGGGGUCGUUUGGUUGCUGCUUAGGAAAGGAGCUGUUCAUGUUAGGAGGUUUUUUUUUUGAAGGUUGGUUGCCCCUAUCUGCAACUCCAGUUAUUUCUCAUAUGAAAAGAAAAUGAAAAAAAAAUCAAACAACCCUUUAAAUGUCAGGGAAUAAUUAUCCACACCCUGUUGAGAUUUUUGAAUCAAAUGGUCGUUUAUGUUACGGAGUUGAACUAAAUUCAUCUAACAAAGUAGAGAAAGAGAUAGAGAUAGAUUCCGAGGCUUCAGUGAUGCUUGACAAGAGAAAUUAGGAGACCGUGUCUUGGCAGGGCGACCUGGAAUGCAACCCUAGGUUUGCAGCCAUGGCGAUGUUUUCAUUCUCUUGUUUUAUCAACAGAUCUGAGCUUCAAUUUUACUCUCAUAGCUUGUUUGGAUGGUUACCUAUUGCGUUGUAUUGUUAUUCUAACAGCGUGUGUUUGGUACAAAGGAAAACAUUUUUUUAUGAAGAAUUCCAUCAGUGAUUGGUUUCCAAUGUAGCCCUCUGAAAAGAAGAAAGUUGGGAAAGUUCUGGAGAAAACUAAGAAUUUUCCUAAAGAAAGUUAGCCCAGGAAGAAAAAAUGAGGUUAAUAGAGAGAAGGGAUUUUUGUUAAAGGUGGUUGCCCCUCUCCGUUGUGCCAAUGAUUUUCUUUUUAACAACUACAGCAACAACCCUUGUUAAUGAAAUACUCAGACAAACAACAGCAUAGCCGUAGAUCUCAGUGUGUAUGUCUUGCCUUUCCCCCUUUGAAGUAAUUGUGCAAAAGAGGCUGUGAUGAUGACAAUGUUUUACUUUCUGGGCUAACUCAAUCGGGCAUUGAGGAUAGUCCUGCUAGUGUCUUGGCUUGGCAAAUCCCAGGAUGGCCUGCAACUGAGGCUCACUCUUUUGCAUGCAACUGGUGAUUUUGCAGCCAUGGCGUGGUUGCCUUCUCUUUGUCCGAGCAAAACUGCAGUAUCUGAGCCUCAAAUUUCUGAAAAUCGAACUGUGGACCUCUUGUGCUUACAUUUAAGUUUGCUCCAAUUAGAAUGAUGUACAGUUGUACACUGGGUCAUUUGCACUUUUCCCUUAUUUUGUGCUGGUCUUUAAUUUAUGCGUCUUGUAUCCAAAAAAAAAUUUGGCAGGCCAAGUUUAUAUUUUCUUGUCAUUAUAUCCCACAAGUUUUGCUAAUAUGACUUCAGUUUAAAAGAACUUAUGCCCCACUAGGCAUAAGUUCAGUUGCUAAAGGGCAAAACAUGCAACUUUAUGUUGCACACUAUCAGAAAAAGAUGGGUACUUUAUUAGCUUCUCAGAUAUAAGCCCAAGAUAUCAGGGAGAAUUUAAAACCCAGAAAGUCUGCGUUUAUUUCUGUGAAUGUUGAUCGUUGGUUAGGGAGUAGUUAUUCAUGUUAGGAGGGAGGGAGUAGUUAUUCAUGUUAGGAGGGAGGGAGUAGUUAUUCAUGUUAGGAGGGUUUUUUCGAAGGGUGGUUGCCCCUCUCUGCAACUCUAGUGAUCUCUCAUAUGAAAAGAAAAUGAAAAAAAAUCAAACCCCUUAAAUCUCAGGGAAAAAUUACCUACAACCUGUUGAGAUUUUUGAAUCAAAUGGUCCUUUAUGUUAUGGAGUUGAACUAAAUUUUCUCACAAAGAAGAGAGAGAGAGAAAGAGAAUUAUGAGGCUUCAAUGAUAAUUGACAAGAGAAAUUAAGAGACCUGUAUCUUGGCGGGGCGACCCGGAACGCAGCCCGAGGUUUGCAGCCAGGGCGGUGUCUUCAUUCUCUUGUUUUAUCAAUUGAUCUCAGCUUCAGUGCUCUUGUUUGGAUGGUUGUUACCAAAGUAUUGUAUUGUUAUUAAGGGUGUCUUUGGUAUGAAGGAAAAUGUUUGUUUUAUGAAGAAUUUCAUCAGUGUUUGGUUACUAAUGUAGCCCUCUAAGAAGAGGAAAGUUGGGAAAUUUUCUGGUGAAAACUAAGAUUUUUCCUAAAGUGUUAACUCAGAAAGAGAAAUAAGGUUAUAGAGAGAUGGGAUUUUUUCUUUAAGGGUGGUUGCCCUUCUCUGUUGUGCCAAUGAUUUUACGUUUAGCAACUAAUCAAUCAAUCAACAACUAUGAUUAUUGAAACAUAUGCAUGGAGUUUCUUGAAUCUACAACUUAAGGCGUAGAUCUCAGUGUGUGUGUGUGCGCGCAUUUCUUUUUCCUCCUUUUUGAGUAUUUGUGCAAUAGAGGCUGUGAUGAUGACAAUGUUUUACUCUCUGGGCUACCAAAAUCGGGCAUUGAGGACAGUGCGACCCGUAUCUUGGCUUGGCAAAUUCCACGUUGGCCUGAAACUGAGGCUCUCUCUCUCUCUCUUCCAUGCAACUGAUGAAUUUGCAGCCAUCACGUUGGUGCUUCUCUUUGUCCAAAUGCAUUAUCUAAGCCUCAAGUUUCUCGGAAUCGAACUGGAGACCUCUUGUGCUUUGAAAUACAUUAAAGUUUGCUCCAACUACAGAUCAAAAGAAUGAUGUACCACAGUAAUAUAGGUACUUUAUCUUCUUCUUAGAUAUAUAUCCAUUAUUUUAUAGACAAUUUAACCAAAGAGAGAAGGCUUGCAGAGAGGAGGAGUUUUUGAAGGGUGGUUGCCCCUCUCUGUAACUUCUGUGAUUUCUCAUAUGAAAAAGAAAAAUCAAACAGCCCUUUAUAUCUCAGGGAAAUAUUGUUCACACCCUGUUGAGAAUUUUCGACUCAAAUGAUCCUUUAUCUUAUGCAGUUGAACUUUUUUCUUCUCAUGAAGAAGAGAGAGAGAGAGAGAGAAUUCCAAGGCUGUGAUGAUACUUUCUUCUUUGGGGCAAGACAAAUUAAGAGAUCUAUCUUGGUGUGGCAACCUGGAUGGCGACCCAUUCUGUGUCAUGCAACCAUUGGUUGCAGCCACAGCGAUGUCUUCAUUUUCUUGUCUCAUCAACCGAUCUGAGCCUCAAUUUUUCUCUUAUUCGCUUGUUUGGAUGGUUGUUACCUAUUGUAUUGUAUUGUUAUUCUAAAAUGGUGUUUUUGGUAUGAAGGAAAAUGUUUUUCAUGUUGAAAUCAGUGUUGGUUACUAAGGUGGCCCUCUGAGAAGAAGAAAGUUGGGAAAUUUUCCAGGGAGUUCAAAAAGAGAAAUGAGGUUAAUUGAGAGAAGGGAUUUUAUGUUAAGGGUGGUUGCCCCUCUCUUUUGUGCCAAUGAUUUUCCUUUUCGCAACUAAACCAACAGCCCUUGUUCAUGAAAUACUGAAACAAACAUCAGUCAGCAGCUAUGCCAAUUGAAACAUAUGCAUGGAUUUUCUUCAAUCUACAGCUUCAGCCAUAGAUCUCAGUGUGGGUGUGUUUCUGAUUUCUACUUUUGGAGAAACCGUGCAAAAGAGGCUGUGAUGAUGACAAUGUUUUACUGAACAAAAUCGGGCAUUGAGGACAGUCUGACCUGUAUCUUGGCCUGGCAAAUCCCAGGAUGGCCUGCAACUGAGGCUCUCUCUUUUGCAUGCAACUGGUGAUUUUGCAGCCAUGGCGUGGUUGCCUUCUCUUUGUCCGAGCAAAAAUGCAGUAUCUGAGCCUCAAAUAUAUGAGCUGGGGACCUCUUGUGCUUUGAAAUACAUUUAAGUUUGCUCAGACCUCUCUAUAACAUCCAUCCUUUGUAAUAACAUUUCACUAUAAGAGCAAAGCAGCAGCAAAAACGUAGAAAAAUGGAGGUUCUGCCCCGUAUGAAGAAUGAGGCCAACAGAGAGAAAGGGAAUUCUUGGAAGGUGGUUGCCCUCUCUGUUUGGCCUAUGAUUUCUUCUUCAACAAAAUAGUAAACACACUUGGAUCUUAUCUAUACAACAACAUACCCAAUGUGAUCAACAAGUGGGGUUGGGGAGGGUGGGGUGUACACAGACCUUACUCCUACCUUUGCAGGGAGAGAGGUUGUUUCCAAUAGACUCUCGGCUCAAGAAAAAACAUACUUAUGUUUGUCAAAAAUUGCUCGAAAUUGUCCAAAUGUCUACUUGUGGGAAAGUUCCCCGUCUUUCAUAACAGGCUGUGAUGAUAUGGUUAAUCUGGGCUGAUGUUCGGGGAGACAAUCUGACCCAUAUCUUGGCAUGGCAAACCCGGAUGGUUUGUGAUUGAGUCAUCUCUUUCACAUGCUACCGGUUCCUUUUCAGCCAUGGCGUUGUCACAUUCUCUUUGUUCCAUUUACUGCAGAUCUGAGCCUCACUUUGCAAUAGUCCUUCUGGACAGUCCAGGAUACGAACCCGGGACCUGUGGUUUGGUGAACAUCAUUUGGGUUGUUCAGUUUUUCUUGAACACCUGAUGGUGUUCUCCGUCAAAUUUUUAGCUAAAAGAAUAAGGCAGUUGGAGAAAAAAUGGGAAGUUUUCUGUAUUUUCUAGGUGGUUGACCAUCUCCAUCAUGCCUAUGAUUUCUAUUUAUCUUUUAGCUCCUAGUAAUAUUAAGGACCAUGUUUGAUCAUUUUCUCCCUGUUUUCUGUUAUGUCGUACUCUGUUCCUCAGAGGCUGUGUUUUCCUGGCAAAGCAACAGCAAAGGCCUACAACAAUGAAUUGAAAAGGAAAAUAACGGGGCUGUGAUGAUAAUUUUACUGAGCAAAUGGAAUCAGGUAUUGUUGAUCUAGGCCUGUGUCUUGGCAGGGCGACCCCUAUUAUAGGGUUUGCAGUCAAGGCGGUUUCUAAUGACUUAAUGCCUCAGAUAAAUUAAAGAUCUGAGCCACAGAAGGAAGAAUAAGGCCUACCAAUAACCUUUUUUUUAUCAUAGGUAUAUUUAGGGGUGUUCAUAGUUCGGUUUUAUUUUGACCAAAAAGAAGGCAUUUCUAUUGCCAUUGAUGUGAUGCUGAUGUCAAUCGUACUCCCUCUGUAUCAUUUUAUUUCAUGUGUAACUGUCCAAAUUGCUAUGAAAAAAUUUCCAUCAUUCCAAAGAGGCUGAGAUGAUGUUGCUAAUCUGGGUUGUUAUUUGGGCAUAGAGAAAACUCGUAUCCUGGUGGGGCAAACCCGGAUCAUGCAACCGUUUCAUUUGCAGCCAUGGUGUUGUCAUCUUCUCUUUGCCCCAUUUUUACACAGAUUUGAGCUUCAACUUGCAAUGAGUCACUGUGGGUUCUCUAGGAUCCAAGCCCAGAACCUCAUUUGAUGGAAACCCAAUUCAUUUUAUUUGCUCAAAAGGAUGAGGCUUUUCCCUCCGAUAUGUCAAUGGUUUCUUCUCUGCUCUAGCCAACAACACUUUUAGUAUUUGUAUGUGGACGAAGUGCACAAAUAGCCUAUUUAAGACCAUUUCCAAGGUCAUUGGUGUAAUUCCCUGGAUUUUAGGGACUUACAACUUUACAGAUUAUAGAGUAAUGGAAGCUCAGCCCAGUAUGAAGAAUGAGGCCAACAGAGAGAAAAAGGGAAUUUCUUUGGAGGUUGGUUGCCCCCUCUGGUUGGCCAGUGAUUUCUCCUUUAACCAUACCAAAAACCCUCUGCAAAAGUUGAAACAAGAAACAAUAUUUGUUGCCAGCACCUUCAAUGGUGGCUAUUUGAUGUUGAAGGCAGUAGUACUAUUCAAUUUUCUGAUCAUUCUGAGCUAAGGUCUCAGUUGUUUUAUUAAUUUUUCUUGUUGAAGUUGUUCAAACGGGCUCUUCUGGAAAAGUUUCCCUUUUUUUUUGAAAGGGGCAGUGAUUAUAUUGCUAAUACGGGCUGAUGUUAGGGGCGUGGAGACAAUCUGACCUGUAUCUUGGCAUGGUAAAUCCGGAUGGCUUGUGAUUGAGUCUUCUCCUUUCACAUGCAACUGGGUUUUUUUGCAGCCAUUGCGCUGUCACUUUCUCUUUGCCCCCUUUUUUGCAGAUCUGAGCCUCAAUUUCCGACUAGUUCAACUGGACGUCCUACGGCUUGCAGAGUUCUGAACCUAAAGGCAUAAUACAUAAAUAUACCCUUUUACUUGGCUUCAGCUGCCCUCGUUUUCCUCCAAUUUUGGGUGUGCACAAGUAGGCACUUAAACCUGUAUAAAAUUGAACAAGCAGACACAAACAUCCUACGUGGCAUAAUACACGUAGGACACCACUUAGGACACAAAAUUGCCAUGUAGGAUGCCACUAGGACGAAUGUGUCUAUUUGUUCAAUUUUGUACAAGUUUAAGUGCCUACUUGUGCACACCUAAAGUUAGAGGGCAUAGAUGUAAGUUGAGACCAAGUUAAAGGGUAUAUUUAUGUAUUAUGUCGAACCUAAAUGAUGAAAAACCCUCUAUAUGCACACACAAACACACAUACCAUGAGAAAAUGUACAAGAUGGUCCCUUAUGGAGGCAGUGAUGAUCUUUCAAUCUAUCCUCUUGAGCUAGUAAUUGAGCACUGAUAGUACCCAACUGGUCUCUUGGCGGGGCAAUGACCCGGAUGCCUGUGAUUUUGUUGCAUGCAACUUGGGGAUCUUUGCAGCCAUGGUGUGGCAGGACUUUCUUUGCUUGAGCAUAAAUAGUGAUCUGAGCCUCAAUUGUCACUUAUAUCUUACUCUGUGUAUUUGGUAUGGAGGAAAAUAUUUGAGUGAAGCAGCCGUAGAUCUCAGUGUCUGUAUUUCUGUUUCCUCUUGGAGAAAUUGUGCAAAAGAGGCUGUGAUGAUGACAAUGUUUUACUUUCUGGGCUAACAAAUUGGGCAUUGAGGUCCGACCCGUAUCUUGGCUUGGUGAAUUCCAGGAUGGCCUGCAACUGAGGUUCUUUCUUUUGCAUGCAACUGGUGAUUUUGUAGCCAUGGCAAGGUUGCCUUUUCUUUGUUCGACCAAAAAUGCGGUAUCUAAGCCUCAAAUUUCUGAACUGGGGACCUGUUGUGCUUUGAGUUUGAAAUGCAUUAAAAUUUUGCUCAGACCUCGUUAUAACAUAUGUCCUAUGUGAUAACAUUUCAGUUUUCACUAUAAGAGCCAAAUUUUCUUUGGAACUGAUUUUCAUAUUAUUGCAUAUUAUACAUUCUUUAUAAUGUCGAGGCUCUAUUAGAAACAACCUCUCUACCUACACAAGGCAGGGGUAAGGUCUGCGUACACUCCACCCUUUCAGACCACACUUGUGGGAUUACACUGUGGGUAUGUUGUUUGUUUGUUUGUUCUUGUUUCAUUUUUUAUUCUUGUUUAUUUUGUCUUUAGGAAAGUGCAAGACUGAACAAGAUGUUAGAUUAGAUACAGUGCCUGAGCUGCUUUAACUUCACUUUGGCUUCUUGUUUAACCUGAUCUCCCUUGCCAUAAGAAAAAUAAAGAUUGCUUUAACUGGUUUUUUAAUAAGAAAUUUGUUUCGUUACAUUGCAUUAGCAUAAAAGGCAGAGAAAGGUAUGCUUGUGAAAUGGAGGUCCUUAUUGUAAGAUGUAAAAUGGAAGGUGAAAUUGAGACCAAAGUAAUAUGUGUUCAUUGUAUGUCAUUGUUGCCGUCUUCUGCUGCUGCUUAGUUGCUAACUUCACUUCCACCUGUCAACAUGGACGCUCUGAUGAGAAAUAUUUAAGUUAAACUAUGGAUCUAAUAAAACUGUAUCUUGGCUUGGCAAUCCAAAUGUUACUGAAAAAUUGCAGUCAUGGAAGUGACUUCCUUAUUUCUCUGAGCAUAUGGAUCGAAAAGAAAACAAAUACUCGUGUAUCUUGGCUGGGCAACCCGUUGGCAAGUGAGUUUUGUGUCAUGCAACCGGUGUUUGCAGCCAUGACAAUGUCUUCAUUCUCUCUUCUUAUUUUCCUCAACAGAUCUGAGCCUCAAAUUCUCUCUGAGAUCGUCUAUGGUAUACAACAAGUGAGCCUUAAUCCCCAGUGAGUAGGGGUCGGCUAUAUUAAUACUCACUGUCCAUGUAAUUUGAACUGAACGUCCACUGAACACACAACACAACCUUCUGAUCUGGAGUCGGACGCGCUACCAUUAUUCCAUGGAUCCUUACAGUGUCUUUGUAUGAUUCAAAACAUAUUUUCUUCUGGAUGAAAUCAGUAUUUAGUUAGCAAUGAGGAUAACAAGUGAAGGGAUCACAGAUCACCUGAAUAUAGGCUGUGAUGUUGAUUGCUUCUUUCUGGGAUAGCUACUUUACCGCGUGGAGGAAAUCUUACCCGUAUCUUGGCAGGGCAACCUGGUAUAGCAUCAUCUGCAUACCAUGUCUGCCGCCCUGGCGUGAUCGCUUUCGCUUUGAUGUUCAUAGAAAAGCAAAAUCUGAGCCCUAACAGUUUACAACAACCAUCUGCAAACCAAAACAGAAUGCACCAGCUGGAAUUGAACCCGGGUCUGUACUGCAGCAGGGUACUAUUCUACCACUACACCACUAGUACCGAGAAUUGAUCAUUUUCCUCUGUUUCAUAUUGCCAAGGCAACAGCAGAACCAUAUAACCAAGAAAAGGAAAAUAAAAUGAUGGGGCUGUGAUGAUUGAUUGCUAUUGAGAAUAUGGAACCUGGCACUGUAGUUUAAGCCUGUAUCAUAGCGGGGCAACCCGAAUUAUAGGGGUUGCAGCCAUGGCAGUGUCAAAGAACUCAUUGCCUGAGAUAAUUACUUAUCUGAGCCUCAAGUCUUUUGAAAUGGCUGAAUACGGUGGCACCUCAAACUUGCUGAAAGUUUUCACUUAGACACCUGACUAAAGGUGGUUCUAUUGAACACAUGAACUUGAACCACACUGUGUCUACUAGACACACGUUUCUGAAGUUGUCCAAACGGGCUCUUAUGGAAAAGUUCUCAUUUUCCAGAAGAGGCAGUGAUGAUAUUGCUAAUCUUGGUCUGACCUGUAUUUAGGCAUGGAAAACUGGGAUGGUUUGUGAUUGGGGCUUCUCUUUUCCGUUUGUGUUCAAAGGAUGUGGUUUUUUUAUGGAACUCGAGAAAGGUGAGAUAUUUAAAGGGUAGUUAGCUUUAGCCAAUGAAUUUUCUUGUACUUUUGUUACAUAGAGAAAGUUUAACAACCUUUGAAGAGAAAAUACAUAUCCCCCCCCCCCCCCAACUCCCGACCACCAAAAAAAAAAAUUGUACGAGUAAACCCAAUUCCUAAACCCUAGGCUUUGUGAGUGAGUCUAUGAUGAUAUUCUCCAGGAAGGAUGCUUGCAAGUCAGAUGUUUGAGCUGAUUCAUAUCUUGGCUACGCAAAGACAAGGAAUUUGUGAGGUGGGUUCUAUGUGCUCUCACACAAAGGCCUCUGCUUUUUGCAGCCAUGGUGGAUUAGACUCUUUCUGAUAGAUCAGAUUUAAAGCAGUAGUUUCUUGGAACCUUGCUUUAACUUUCAAGACUGUUCAACUCGUGGAACUUCAGAUGGUUUCGAUACAAGUUUUAAGUUGGUUCUUCUUACACUCUUCGACGAGUACAUGCAGCAGUUAAAGAGAGGCCUGUUUGCUCCAACACCUGCAGGUAAAUGAUGAAAUCUGGUCAGUAUAAGAAUUAGACAUAUCCAGCAGCUGAUUGACCUGUUCAAAUUUGAAUUUUGGCAUCAUAGAGAGAAUAUCAAGCAGUUAUAUGAUGUUUAGGAACUAAGAUUUUGUUGGUGAUCUCUCAUGUUAGUUGAAACUGAGAUUUAAAUUCAGCAUAGAGUUGAGCUUUCUAAGAUUCUUGGAAUAGUUUGUGAUACAGUAUGAGCAUAGGAUGGAUGUUCUUUAGAAUUCUUAAAAGAUCAAGAAUUGUGUGCUUUAAGAUCCCGUUUUACUCGAUUGUGAAUCAAGACAAAAGGUCGAAUGUACUUGUUCGAUGCGAUCACACAAAAUGAGACUUUUCGUCGUUACGUAACGAUGAAGCGAUAUGAUUCAAUGAAAUUUAAAUAACAAUUAAAACAAACAUUGAAUUUAAACUAAUAACACAAUACAUAAAUAACAACCAUCCAAACAAGCUGUUAUGAUAAAAAAAAGUUUCCAAUAUAUGAGAACUUCAUGACCAUCUUUGCGUACUGAAACAGUAAUGUCCUAAUAUGUUCCCUUGAUGAUUCAAACCCACAAUAUUUUCCUGUGGUGUAGUAUAUUUCUUGAGAUUUUCAUGAAAGAUAAAUAAAGAACUACUUUUUAAUUCCCCAGUAUGAUCUUGGUCGGCCAUAGCGAACUUGGGGAUUGGGCUAUAUAUUCUAGUGUUUAGCUGAAACCUUUAACCAUUGUUUAGCCAAGAAAGGAAGAAUGAGACAUCAGAAGGAAAAAGUGGAAUUUUCUAUUAAGGGUAGUUGCCCCCUCUCUCUGCUAUGUCAAUGAUUUCUUUCUUCUCCAUUCAUUAUAAAAACCAACAGCCCUUUGAUUAAAAAUAAAUCAAGAAUUAUCUAGACAUUUGGCCAUAGAAUUCUAAAUAUUUUUAUACAUAUGACCCAACAAAGAUAGCUGCUCUUUCAAGACUUCGGAACCUAAAAAAUGGGCGGUGAUGAAGAUUUGCUUCUUUCUGGCUAACAAUCUACUUCAUCGUGUUGAGAAGAUCCGACCCCUAUCUUGGCAGGGCGACCCAGUAAGGCAUCCAUAUGCUAACCGGUGUAUCUGCAGCCAUGGCCAUGUCGAUUUCUCUUUGCAUGUUUGUAGAACAGCAAAAUCUGAGCCCUAAAGUGUACGGCAACCAUUUGAUAGUUGUUCUCGGGAGUUGAGAUACCCAAUUGGUUUUUUCAGUUUUUCUUGAAAACACCAUUUCAAUGCAGUGCUCUAUCAAAUUUUUAGCUCAAAAAUUAGGUAAUCGGAGUAAAAAAGGAUUUUUCAGGGUGGUUGACCAUCUCCGGGAUGCCAGUGAUUUUAUCUUAGCUCUAAUCAACAGCCUUUUUAGCAUAUGUAUGAGGUCUAGACACCUCUACUGUGUCAGUUGAACACUCCAACUUUGUUCAACUUACAAAAUGAUCAUCUAGAUACCUCUAAGAUUUAUAUGCUGCCUGUGUUGACGAGACACAAUGGGGAUGAGUUGGAGUGUUUAGUUCCAUUUGAGACCAAGUUGAGGUGUCUAGAUGUGCACUCUCAAAGUUGGAGUGCUUACUUGUCAGCCAAAACCAAGUUUGAGUGUGUUUAUGUAUUAUGCCAUAUAUGUGUGUAUUGUAUGUCUGUUUCUGUCUCUCUAUCAGUGACUUCAUUUUCAGAUAAAGCAGCAGCAAAAGCAUAGAAAAGGGACAGUUAAGCAGACUUGCAGGGUUUCUGGUUAAAUUAUCUCUUAUAAAUCAGUGUUCUACAGAAAAGUGAAGGUUCAGCCUCACUAUUAAGAAUGAGGCCAACAGAGAGAAAAGGGAAUUCUUGGAGGUUGGUUGCCCCAUCUGUUUGGCCUGUGAUUACCCAUAAACAAAAUCAACAACCCUCUUUUGGAAGUACUAGUAUUGGUUUCUUGUUUUCUCUAAGUUCAGACCAAACAUACCUCUAAUUUUAGCUUAUGUUUGUGGGAUUUCACUGGGUAGGUUGUUGUUUGUUAAAAGUUGCUCGAAAUUGUCCAAACGCCUACAUGCGGGGAAGUUUCCUUCUUUCAAAUGAAGCUGUGAUGAUAAUGCUUAUGGCAGGAUCCUCACUAUAGUUUAGCACAGAAAGGAAGAAUGAGACAGCAGAGAGAUGGAAUUUCCUGUAAAGGGUGGCUGCCCCUCUCUGUCAUGUCUCCAUGAUUUCUUCUCCAUUCAUAUAAGCCAACAGCCCUUUGAGAAAAAGAAAGGAUCAAGAACUAUGUAGACGUUUGGCCAUAGAAUUCCAAAUAUUUUUAGAUACUUCUUCCUUUCUCUGCUUAUGCUUUUGCAAGGUAGAAGUGACCCAACAAGGUAGCUGUUUUUUCAUGAGUCUAGAACUUAAAUGAUGUUGAUUGAUCUGAAAAAUGGGCUGUGAUGAUGCUUUGCUUCUCUCUGGGCUAAUAAUCUACUAAACUGCGUUGACAAGAUCUGACCUGUAUCUUGGCGGGGCAACCUGGUAAGACAUCCAUUUGCAAACCGGUGUAUCUGCAGCCAUGGUGAUGUUGCUUUCUCUUUUGUGUAUUUGUAGAUCAGCAAAAUCUAAGCCCUAAAAGUUUUAUUAUAACACCCGAUUGGUCUUCAGUUUUUGUUGAACACUUUUUAGCUCAAAGUUGAGGUAAUCAGAGAAAAAAAGAGGAUUUUUCAGGGUGGUUGACCAUCUCCAAUAUGCCUAUGAUUUCUAUUGUGCUCUAAUCAACAGCCCUUUAGCUCAAAAAUGAAAAAGGGACUAUAUAUGCUCUUCCUGUUUCUGCUUCUUUAUAUACUACAGCUGAUUUUUGCAAAUAUUCACUUUUAUGUCCCUGUAAAUAAAAAGCUAGCUGUUUUUGUAAGAGCACUAAACCUAAAUGAGGUGUUCUAUUUAUGUUGGUUGAUCUGAAAAAGUUAAAGACGAUCCUGAAUUAGGAGCAAUCUGUGCAAAAACUUGAAAAAAUGGGCUGUGAUGAUGGGUAGCUUCUUUUUGGGCUAUAAUCUACUUUAUUGUGUUGAGAAAAUCCGAGCUGUAUCUUGGCAGGGCGACAUGGUAUGGCAUCCAUAUGCAAAGCUGUGUCUUGCAGCCAUGGCGUGUGUUGCUUUCACUUUGCAUAUUCAUAUACAGCAAAAUCUGAGCCCUAAAUGUUUUGGCUAAAAAUGAGGCAAUCGGAGAAACAAUGAGAUUUUUCAGGGUGGUUGUCCAUCUCCAGGAUCCCAAUGAAUUUUCCUUUGCUCUGAUCAACAACCCUUUUUUCCAUCUGUGACUACUUUGCUCUUGCGUGCUGGCUUUUUGAUGCAAAGCAGCAGCAAAAGCAUAGAAAAAUGGAGGUUCAACCAGUAUGAAGAAUGGAAAAGGGCCACAUAUACCCCUCUACCAUGAAGAAUGAGGCCAACAGAAAGAGAAGGGAAUUCGUGGAGGGUGGUUGCCCCCUCUGAUUGGCCUAUGAUUUCUCCUUUACCCAAAUCAAUAACCCUCUUUAGAUGUACUAGUACUGUUUUCUUGUUUCUCCGAGGUUAGCAAACAUACUCUAAUCUUAUCUUUUAUGUUUGUUACAAACUACUUGAAAUUGUCCAAACGCCUACUUGUGGGGAAGUUCCCAUCUUUCAAAAGUGGCUGUGAUGAUAAUGCUUAUGGAAAAUCCUCACCAUAGUUUAGCCCAGAAAGGAAGAAUGAGACAUCAGAGUGAUGGGAUUUUCUGUAAAGGGUGGUUGCCCCCUCUCUGCCACGUCCAUAAUUUCUUCUCCAUUCAUAAAAAAACAACCGCCCUUUCAGAAGAAAAAAGAACAAGAAUGUUGAUAUAUAUAUAUAUAUAUAUAUAUAUGCUUCUUCCAAUUUCUGCUUCAGCUACUACUACAGUUGAUCUUUGCAAAUAGUUACUUUUAUGUCCCUGUAAAAUACAAGGUAGAAAUGACACAACAGGUAACCACUUUUAAUGGGUGAUGUACAAGAAUGUUGAUUGAUCUGGAAAAAUGGGCUGUGAUGAUGAUUUGCUUCUUUCUGGGCUAUAUCUACUUCACUGCAUUGAGAAGAUCCGACCCGUAUCUUGGCAGGGCGACCCUGUAUGGCAUCAUCUGCAAACCGGUAUCUGCAGCCAUGGCGAUGUCGCUCUCUCUUUGCAUGUUUGUAGAACAGCAAAAUCUGAGCCCUAAAGUGUACGGCAACCAUUUGAUAGUUGUUUGCGGUAACUGAGAUACCCAAUUGGUGGCUUCAGUUUUUCUUGAACAACCCAUUUCAGAUGCAGUGCUUUAUCAAAAUUUUAGCUCCAAAGUGAGGUAAUCGGAGUAAAAAAGGGAUUUUUCAGAGUGGUUGACCAACCAUCUCCGUUAUGCUAGUGAUCUUAUCUUAGCUCUAAUGAACACUUUUUAGCAUAUGUAUGAGGUAUGUAUGUAUAUAUGUGUGUGAGAGAGAAAGAGAGAGAAUGUGUCUGCAUUUUUCAGAUUAAGCAGCAGCAAAAGCAUAGAAAAGGGACAGUUAAGCAGACUUACAGGUUCUCUGGUUAAAUUAUCUCUUAUAAAGUAGAGUGUUCUAGGGGAAUCUUAGUAGCUCAGUUGGUUGGUUAGCAAAUGGCUACCUGAAUUCACCUUGUAAUCCCCUCACCCAUUCCCCUUCUCCUACCCCCAGUUCUUCAAAAAAAAAUCAGUGUGUUCUAUAAAAAAAUGGAGGUUCAGCCACGUUUUAGAUUGAGGCCAAUAGAGAGAAACGGGAAUUCUUGGAGGGUGGUUGCCCCCUCUGUUUGGCCUAUGAUUUCCCCAUAAACAAAAUCAACAACCCUCUUCAUAAGUACUUGUACUGUUUCUUGUUUUCUCUAAACUUAGACCAAACAUCCCUCUAAUUUUACCUUAUGUUUGUGGGAUUUCAUUGGGUAGGUUGUUUGUAAAAAGUUGCUCGAAAUUGUCCAAACGCCUACUUGUAGGGAAGUUUCCAUCUUUCAAAUGAGACUGUGAUGACAAUGCUUAUGGGAGAACCUCACAUAGCUUAUCCCAGAAAGGAGAAUGAGACAUUAGAGAGAGAGGAUUUUUUGUAAAGGGUGGUUGGCCCCUCUGCCAUGUCCAUGAUUUCUUCUCCAUUCAUAAAAAUCAACAGCCCUUCGAGAAAAACAGAACAAGAAAAUGAUAAAAGGGACUAUAUAUGCUGCUUCUUUUUUUUUGAAACUGAAUUGAUAAUGCUUCUUCCCUUUUCUGCUUCUGCUGCUACUACAGCUGAUUUUUGCAAAUAGCAAUUUUAUGUUCGUGUCAGCUAAGUUGUUCGGACUCAUGUGUGGCUUUCCAUUAUGGAUGCAGAUCUAGAGGUCGGAUCCUCUGUGAUCUAAAUUUUAAGAUUCGGGGAUACAGAUCCAUGUAUGGAUACGGAUGUGGGGAUUCAACUAAAAAUAAUUCAAAUAUCUAAAAAUAGAAUUAUUAAACCUAAAUUACGAGAUAUUAUGUGGAAAACUUGAGGAGAAUAUUGAUCAAGAGGAGCAUCCUGGAAGGAGAUAAAAGGAAAGGGAGUGACAAUAGAAAUUUAUAUAUACAAGGUAUUCCUUUUUAUUCAAUUUCACUUUAGUUUUGUUUUGAUUUCAGAAACCAUUGAAUCUUUCCAGAAUUUCUUCCUCAAAUUUGGUCAAAGUACCCAAAACCGGUUGACCAGAUCGGGUAUGGAUCCACACCUACACCCACGCCGUGUAGGCACGGGGUGCGGCACCGAAAGUGAAGAGUCCGAGCAACUUAGCUUGUAUGUAUAAACAACAACAACAUACCCAGUGAAUUCCCACUUAGGGUCUUAAGGAGGAUAGGAUAUACGCAGACCUUACCCUACCAUUGUUGUGGAGUGGAGAGGAUGUUUCUGAUAGAGCCGAAGCAGUAUUGCAAGAAAAAUAUAACAACCAAAUAGUAAAAUGGGUGAUUUUAUGCCCCUGUGUAUGUACAAGGUAGAAAUGACACAAUAAUGUCGGUGAGUGUAAUUGUCACGCUUUUAAUGGCACAAGACAACUGAUGUUGCUUGAUCUGAAAAAUGGGCAGUAAUGAUGAAUUGCUUCUUUAUGGGCUGUACUAUACUGCAUUGAUGAAAUCCGACCUGUACCUUGGUGGGGUGACUCGGUAUGGCAUCCAUUUGCAAACCGGUGUCUUGCAGCCAUGGCAUGUGUUACUUUCUCUUUGCAUGUUUGUAGAACAGCAAAAUCUGGGCCCUUAAAGUUUUACGGAAAGAAUUGAAUGGACGCUCAUUUCUCUAGAACUGGAAAAUUCAAUUGGGUUCUCUAGUUUUUCUUUCAGAUGCAGUUCUCUAUCAAAAUGUUCAGCUAAAACUGAGGCAAUCUGAGAAAAAAGGAGAUUUUUCAGGGUGGUUGACCAUAUCCAGCAUGCCUAUGAUUUUGUUUUUGCUCUGAUGAACAACCCACUCUAUGAGACUCUCUCUCUCUCUCUGUGUGUGUGUGUGUGUCUAUAUAUAUGUGUGUGUGUGUGUAUAUAUAUAAACUUAUGCUUCUGCUGCUGCAACAGCUGAUUUUUGGAAAUAGCCACUUUUAUGCCCCUCUAAAUACAAGAUAGCUGUUUUUAAUGGUGCUAAGGGCACAAGACAACUGAUGUUGAUUGAUAAAAAUGGGAUGUGAUGAUGAUUUGCUUCUUUCUGGGCUAUAAUCUACUUUUGAGAAGAUCCAACUUGCAUCUUGGUGGAGCGACCCAGUAUGGCAUCAGUUUAGCUGAAACCUCCCCAUUGUUUGGCCCAGAAAGGAAGAAUGAGACAUUAGAGAGAAAUGGGAUUUUCUGUAAAGGGUGGUUGCCCUCUCUCUGUUAUGUCCAUGAUUUCUUCUCCUUUCAUAAAACACCAACAGCCCUUUGAGAAAAAGAAAAGAUCAACAAUUAUGUAGGCGUUUGGACAUACAACAACAACAACAUACCCAGUGAAAUCUCACUAAGUGGGAUCUGGGGAGGCGUUUGGACAUAGAUUCCAUAUAUAUAUAUAUAUAUAUGCUUUUUCUCUCUUCUGCUUGUGCUUUUGCAAGGUAGAAAUGAUACAACAAGUUAGCUGUUUUAUUGAUGUUGAUUGAUCUGAAAAUGGGCUGUGAUGAUAUUUGCUUCUUUCUGGGCUAAUAAUUUACUUCACUGCAUUGAGAAGAUCUGACCCGUAUCUUGGCGGGGCGACCCGGUACGACAUCAUCUGCAAACCGGUGUCUUGCAGCCAUGGCAUGUGUUGGUUUCUCUUUGCAUUUUCAUAUAUAGCAAAUUCUGAGCCCUAAAGUGUAUGGCAAGCAUGUGAAGGUCUUAAAUGGAUGGUCGUUCUCGGAAACUGAGAUACCCACUUGGGUUUUUCAGUUUUUUUUUAAACCCCAUUUUUCAGAUGCAAUUCUCCAUCAAAUUUUUUCUUUAAAAUGAGGUAAUCGGAGUAAAAAUGUGAUUUUUCAGGGUGGUUGACUAUCUCCGGUAUGCCAGUGAUUUUAUCUUAGCUCUAAUCAACAGCCCUUUUAUCAUAUCUAUAUUAUAUUAAAAGCAUGAAGGUCUUUAGCGAAAUGUUGUUAGCUGUUUUUACCCAUUAAAACUAGAUUUCACACUAGAUAAAGUUGUCAUUUUACUAUUUUCCUAAUAUUUUGGACUUUAAAAUCAACUAAAAUUUAUGUAAUAAAUCCUUCCUAAUAUUUAGGACUUCAAAUCAACCAAAUAUCUGUUUGUGUUCAAGGAAUGAGGCUUUUCUAUGGAACUCGAGAAAGGUUGAGAUUUUCUAAGGGUGGUUAUUCCCUUUCUCUGAAGUUCAAUUUAGCCGAUGAAGUUUCCAGUACUUCUGCUACAAAGAGAGAGAUUAACAACCCUUUCAUCAACUACUGCCAAUAAUGAUCUUGCUGAUGAUGAUGAUUCGCCAUGGCUUUGGUCACAAAUAUCUAAUUAGAUUUUCGGAAAACAGAAGGAAAAAAAAAGAACUAUUUUUUCCUUCACUGAUCUCUUGGUCAGCCAUGGCAAGAUAAAAAGAACUUGGGAAUUGGGUAUUGUGCUAUAUAUAUGUACAACAUAGUAUGUUUUGCAGUACCCUCAUCAUAGUUUAGCCCAUAAAUGAAGAAUGAGACAUAGAGGUGGGAUUUUCUGUAAAGGGUGGUUGCCCUUUCUCUACUAUUUAUGUCCAUAAUUUCUUUCUCCAUUCAGGAAAACCAACAGCCCUUUGCGAAAAAGAAAAGAUCAAGAAACUGAAAGCGAGACCAUGAUAUAUAUAUAUAUAUAUAUAUAUAUAUAUAUAUAUGUUGUACAUAUAUAUAGCACAACAAGCUAGCUUCUUUUUUAAGAGUUCGGAACCUAAAUGAGGUGUUUUAUUGAUUUUGAUUGAUCUGAUAAAAUGGGCUGUGAUGAUGAUUUGCUUCUUUCUGGACUAUAGUCUGCUUCACUACGUUGAGAAAAUCCGACUCGUAUCUUGGUGGCGACCUGGUAAGGCAUUUUGCUAACUGGUGUAUCUGCAGUCAUGCGACGUCGCUUUCUCUUUGCAUGCUCAUAUACAGCAAAAUCUGAGCCCUUAUGGCAAGCAUGUGAUGAUCUUAAAUUGAUGGUCGUUCUCAGGAACUGAGAUACAUACUUUGGUUUUUCAGUUUUUGUUGAACCCCAUUUUUCAGAUGCAGUUCUCCAUCAAAAUUUUAUCUCAAUAAUGAGGUAAUCGGAGUAAAAAGGAUUUUUCAGGGUGGUUGACCAUCUCCGGUUUACCAGUGAUUUUAUCUUGGCUCUAAUCAAUAGCCCUUUUAUCAUAUAUAUAAAUAAUAAUAAUUGGAUUUCUCUUUCUGUCUCUCAGUCUGUGACUGCUUUUUCAGGCAAAGCAGUUGCAAAAGCAUAGAAAAAUGUAGGUUCAGCCCAGUAUGAAGAAUGAGGCCAACAGAGAGAAAAGGGAAUUCCUUGAGGGUGGUUGUUCCCUCUGCUUGGCCUAUGAUUUCCCCAUAAACAAAAUUAACAACCCUCUUCAGAAGUACUAGUACUGUUUAUUGGUUUCUCUAAAUUCUUUGAGAGUGGUUACCCUCUCUGAUUGGCCUAUGAUUUCCCUGAUCAGCCAAACCAACAAUCCUCCGUUGGUAUAUGUUUCUUUUGAUGUAAUGUUGAUAGCAAGAGUAGUAAUGCUCCCUAUGUUCCUAUUUACUUGUAACUGUUCAGUACUGAUAUGGAAAAGAAUCCAUCUUUCGAAAGAGGCAGUGAUAAUAUUGCUAAUUCUGGGCAAGGAGAAAAUCCGACUCGUAUCUUGGUGGGGCAAACCCUGACUAUGUAACCGUCUCAUUUUGCAGCCAUGGCCUUAUCAUCUUCUCUUUGCCCCAUUUUACACAGAUCUGAGCCUCAACUUCCAUUGCGUCCCAGGAUCCAAACCCCGAAGCUCAUUUGAUGGAAACCUAGACCUAGUUCAUUUUAGCUUGAAAGGACGAGGCAAUAAGAGGAAAAUGGGGAUUUUUACAGGGUGGUCGACCACCUCCGGUGAACAAUGUUGCAUUUCAUCUUUGCUGGGUGGUGAACCGGUGUCAUUUCAAUUAUUGGUGAUACUGAUGGCAUCUUGAUUGGGUUGAACGACGAAAAUUGGAUCUACCCACAUGAAAAGAGGAUUAUUUACAACAGAGAUGAAGUCGUUUUUUCAAGUUUUUUGGCUAUCCAUCCCUAUGAAGACGGAAGACUGUCUUCCAUCCCUAUGAAAACGAAAGAGAAAGAUAAAGCUUCAUUUCUCGGCAUUGCAAAGAUUGUGUUUAAAAACAAAAAGCUUCAUUGGUUAAGAUUUGGAACUGAGCUUCGCUUCUGGCAAAACAUCGGGAGGGAGUGCUACUGUUUCCUUAAUUUAUCAAUUCUCAUCUAUGAAAGGGAUUCAAUUCGAUAUCUUGCGUACGAAUUCAUGUUGUCAACGAGGAUCAAAUCCUUAAAAUUAAAAAAUUCAGAGAAUUGUUGGACUCAAAUUUUCUUCUUUUACAAGUGUUCUAACUUGCUAUACCUUUGGAAUGUUUUGUUCUAUAUUAUCUCAUUUUGUCUUUUCAUAUUUGAUUGAUUUUAUUAAGUUCACGUGUGACUAUUAUGUAAUAAUUAUUUUUCGAGUUUAGAAAAACUGAAAAGAUAAGGUGACAAAAAAGAGAUGAAAGUUAA